rnacentral:rRNA from 1 species
CAUACCAUACCAGCCCAUUGGACACAAAGUUUUCCAGUCAGACAAGUGGACUACAGUUAAAUGCAUCUGAAGUAAUAAGGAAGCAAAUAUAUGAAUCUUUGCGCUUCCACUGCACAGAAAUCUUGACAAAAAUGAUGAUGUUCAUAAGGUGCUCUUCAUCAUGGAAUCAUCCCUUCGUCUCGUAGUUGGUUCACUAACUAAGGCACAUGUCCAUAACUGAUAUUGAUGCAACAAAAACUUAUCGACAAGGUAUGUUGCAGUUGAAAUAUGGGAAUGUUAAUGUGAUCAAGCCAGCUAUUUAUUAAACUCUUUAUUUUGGCAUUAAUCAAGUAGUAAUAGUUAACUAGGUUUGCAAUAGUUAAAAUCUGCUUAUAUAUAAUUGACUGAAGUGCAUCAUAGGUCCUCAAACUAUUUCAGAAGUGUCAUGUAGGUCCUCGAACUAUGAAAAUCGCUAUCUAGGUCCUCAAAGUGCAAUAUGUGUGUCAUCCAGGUCCUCAAACUAUUUCAGAAGUGUCAUGUAGGUCCUCAAACUAUGAAAAUCGCCAUCUAGGUCCUCAAAGUGCAAUAUGUGUGUCAUCCAGGUCCUCAAACUAUUUCAAAAGUGUCACGUAGGUCCUUGAUCUAUUUUAGAGGUGUCACAAAUAUACACACUUAUUGCACUUCAAGGAUUUUCGAGG